AACGGUCUAUACCUGCGGUACCUGCGGAGGGAUCAUUACCGAGUUUACAACUCCCAAACCCCAUGUGAACAUACCUGUUUCGUUCCCUCGGCGGUGUCCGGCAACGGCCCGCCAGAGGACCCAACAAACUCUUUUGAAUUUUUCAGUAUCUUCUGAGUGAAAAAAACAAUAAAUCAAAACUUUCAACAACGGAUCUCU
rnacentral:misc_RNA from 1 species